rnacentral:lncRNA from 1 species
UGACUCCUCACAAAGACUACCCUGACCAAAGUUUUGCUAAAUUGAAACAUGACUGUACACAGCUCCUAAACUGGAGUGGUCAAUCCCAUCUUGACACACGCACCGACAAGUCAAGUACUUGACUACACCCAGCAGCCUUCCAUCACUGAAUUAGAAAUUCAGGUAGUCCAGUGCCUAAGUGUAGUGAGUUACUUGCAAGUCACCGUGGCGGUCUCA